rnacentral:lncRNA from 1 species
UUUUAUGUGGUUUGGCAAUCUGGUGGAUUCCCAGGUUAUUGAGAGAUGCUUAGUUUUUUGUUCUUUGAUUUCCUUCAAGUAGAACUCGUUUGAGUUGCAUGUUUUGUUAAAUAAGUAGCGGCCCCUUGUAUUAAAAUUCAACUAGUGAUUCAUCAAACAUUAUGUGCCAACAAUGAAAAUAUGAUCGCCCUUGUACUAAAAUUGUUCCGAAGAUGGUAAGUUUUCCAUUAUAAUUGCAUAGUAAGUUAUCAGUCACAAAGACUAUCCUACUCUAUGUUAAAUCAUCACGUGGUUAUGAGAUUCCAUCUUUAUGAAGUUAAUUUUGUUUCCUGACUUGGACCAGUGGUGCCUAAAAAUUGGAAUGGGAGCUCAAGAGGAUCACGUGACAAUUAACUGAAGAUUUGGCCGCUUUCCAUAACACAUUUUGUCGUAGAUUGGUAUUAUGUUGUUUGAUUAGCAGAUGGGAUUUAUAGAUGAAGGCUUAUUGCACCAAGAUGGUACGUUGGUAAUUGUUGUGAAUUUGGUUACUGAGCCAAUGGCACGGUCAGGACAGUGACACAAUAUGCAAGAUAUGACCCGACUCACAAAGAAAGCAAAACUACAAAGAUGAGUUGUACCCACAAGUAUAUUUGGAGGCAACAAUAUCCAGUUCAAUCAAUAUAUUCAAGUACCUGCAGACGCGAAAUCAAUGGGUAUGUAAUCGUUUACUACCUUUAUCUCGUAUUUCAAUCUUUUCGCUGCAUCAGUCGGGCAAAAGUCACAAAUAUCAGCUCCAUUUUACAGCCUAAUACCAGUUAGGUUAGAAUCAGGCUUUGUACUAUGUUAUUUGGGCACUGACUGGGGUCAUAGGUAAUGGUUUUGAACCAGUAACGGGCUUAUUAGCUUACCCUGUAAUGUAUUUCGCCAAGUUUGCUACAAAAUAACACAUGAAACAAGAAAGCAAG